CAGCAGCAGCAGCAGCAGCAGCAGAUGAGCACCAAUCAGAGUUCAGACCAGGACCAGAGUCAGUCUGCAGGAAGAGGGGGGUCUGAGUCAGAGUAUAUGCCUCUGCAGAACAGAAGUACAGAUGUCUAUGACACUAUCACCCCCCUAUAUAUGCCACUGCAGAGAGGUGCUACCGAUGUCUAUGAAACAAUUAAAUCAUCCAAGGACUCUCAAGA